UAUCCUUUGUUGCCAGCGAUUAGGUCGGGAACUCAAAGGAGACUGCCAGUGAUAAACUGGAGGAAGGUGGGGAUGACGUCAAGUCAUCAUGGCCCUUACGACCAGGGCUACACACGUGCUACAAUGGCGCAUACAAAGAGAAGCGACCUCGCGAGAGCAAGCGGACCUCAUAAAGUGCGUCGUAGUCCGGAUUGGAGUCUGCAACUCGACUCCAUGAAGUCGGAAUCGCUAGUAAUCGUGGAUCAGAAUGCCACGGUGAAUACGUUCCCGGGCCUUGUACACACCGCCCGUCACACCAUGGGAGUGGGUUGCAAAAGAAGUAGGUAGCUUAACCUUCGGGAGGGCGCUUACCACUUUGUGAUUCAUGACUGGGGUGAAGUCGUAACAAGGUAACCGUAGGGGAACCUGCGGUUGGAUCACCUCCUU
rnacentral:rRNA from 1 species